GAUGAACGCUGGCGGCGUGCCUAAUACAUGCAAGUCGAGCGAACAGACGAGGAGCUUGCUCCUCUGACGUUAGCGGCGGACGGGUGAGUAACACGUGGAUAACCUACCUAUAAGACUGGGAUAACUUCGGGAAACCGGAGCUAAUACCGGAUAAUAUAUUGAACCGCAUGGUUCAAUAGUGAAAGACGGUUUUGCUGUCACUUAUAGAUGGAUCCGCGCCGCAUUAGCUAGUUGGUAAGGUAACGGCUUACCAAGGCAACGAUGCGUAGCCGACCUGAGAGAGUGAUCGGCCACACUGGCACUGAGACACGGUCCAGUCUCCUACGAAAGGCAGCAGUAGGGAAUCGUCCGAAAUGGGCGAAAGCCUGACGGAGCAACGCCACGUGAGUGAUGAAGGUCUUCGGAUCGUAAAACUCUGUUAUUAGGGAAGAACAAAUGUGUAAGUAACUAUGCACGUCUUGACGGUACCUAAUCAGAAAGCCACGGCUAACUACGUG
rnacentral:rRNA from 1 species